CCUGGUGCUCUGGGCUGGCCUAUGGACAUGGAGGAGGAUUGGGACUCAGCCUGCGGUUUGUGUUUGAGCCUGCUGGUGAUCACUCCCAGGCCUGAUGAUGAAGUUGCACCUGCCAUGCCAGCCCCUGUCCUGCCUCUUCGUGCUGCUUCUCUGUCCUCUGGCCACUCUGACAUCAACAACCCCGUGGCUGUGUCCACCUGGAGAAGAGCCUAACCUAGACCCAGGUCAGGCCACAUUAUGCAGGUCCUGCCCCCCAGGCACCUUCUCAGCCUCAUGGGGUUCCCGCCCAUGCCAGCCCCAUGAUCGCUGCAGCCUCCGGAGGAGGCUGGAAGCUCAGGCCGGCACAGCAACUCGAGAUACACUGUGUGGAAGCUGUCAGCCUGGGUGGUUUGGGCCUUGGGGGGUCCCCAGUGUUCCAUGUCAGCCAUGUUCCUGGGCACCUCUGAGUACUCAUGGUUGUGAUGAAUGGGGGCGACGGGCCCGACGUGGCGUUGAGGUGGCAGCAGGGUCCAGCAGUGACGGGGAGACGCGGCAGCCUGGGAAUGGCACACGGGCAGGUGGUCCCGAGGAGACAGCUGCUCAGUACGCAGUGAUUGCUAUCGUGCCCGUCUUCUGCCUCAUGGGACUGCUGGGCAUCCUGGUGUGCAACCUGCUGAAGCGCAAGGGCUACCACUGCACAGCCCACAAGGAGGUCGGGCCUGGCCCUGGAGGAGGUGGCAGUGGUAUCAACCCCGCCUAUCAGAAUGAGGAAGCCAAUGAAGACACCAUUGGGGUCCUGGUACGCUUGAUCACAGAGAAAAAAGAGAAUGCGGCGGCCCUGGAGGAGCUGCUGAAAGAAUACCACAGCAAACAGCUGGUGCAGACAAGCCACAUGCCUGUGCCCAGGCUGCCGCCAGCCUCCCCCAGCAUACCGCACAUCUGCCCGCAUCGCCACCACCUCCACACUGUGCAGGGCCUGGCCUCGCUCUCUGGCCCCUGCUGUUCCCGUUGUAGCCAGAAGAAGUGGCCUGAGGUGCUGCUGUCCCCCGAAGCUGCAGCUGCUACCACUCCUGCUCCCAGCCUCCUGCCUAACCCAGCCAGAGCUCCCAAGGCUGGGGCUAAAGCAGGACGCCAAGGCGAGAUCACGAUCUUGUCAGUGGGCAGGUUCCGUGUGGCUCGGAUUCCUGAGCAGCGGGCCAGUUCAGUAAUAUCUGAGGUGAAGACCAUCACAGAAGCUGGACCUUCAGGGGGUGAUCUCCCUGACUCCCCACAACCUGGCCUCUUUCCUGAGCAGCGGACACUUCUGGGAUGUGGCGGAAGCCAUACAACGUGGUUGAAGCCCCCCGUGGAGAACAAGGCUGAGGAGAAUCGCUAUGUGGUCCGGCUAAGUGAGAGCAACCUGGUCAUCUGAGGGCUGUCUGGUCUGAGCCACUUGGCCUGGCCCUGGGAGGUUCUGAAGGCUUCCUUUACAAGGCAAAAACUGCUGCGGGACUUGAGGACCAAGGUGGAAGAGCCCAGCAGCCAAAACGGCGAAGGCCAUGGACUGGAGGUGGGACUGUUCAUCCAGCGACGAGGUGGGCAGCCAGAGGGCACCACACUGAGUGCAAGAGCAGAUCGAGAUCCCCGCCCUGUCCCUGCCACCCCACAUCCUUCCCUGCAGGAUACCCCAGGCUUGUGCCUGCCCUGGCCAUGUUAUAGGAGCCCUAGGGGUCUGGGCUUGGCGGAGCUAUGGCACCUGUCCCUGGUGUCUAGACUUUGGGGACCUGCUUGUCCAGGGCCCCAGAGCAGAUGUGCCUCCCCUUCCUCUUCUGGCGGGGCCUGCAAAGGUAAGGGACAGAAAAGAGCCUGGAGCUGGAGGCUUGACUCCUGGAUUUGAGCCCAGUACAUGUUCUCAGCUUUCACUGGGUUCCAGCCUUUCUGACUGAAAUGGAGAGAGAACAGCAGCUCAUGCCUGGGUCCUCUCCAGUGCCCUGUAGGUUCUGGGCUGGGUCCUGCCAGGAAGAGCUUGACUCUGCUACCCCUCCCAUUAGUAGCUUUAUCUGGCCCAUUUUGUGCUGCUUGCAGGGCCUUUGCCUUCAAGGCCCCCGUGGGGCUGUUCAUCCAGGCUCCACCCACAGAAGGGGCUUAAAUGCAUGUGCCUGCCCCCACCCUGCUAUCUUUAAUGGAACUGAAAACUCCUCGGCAGGGCUGUGGUGCGGAGGCCUAGCCAGCCCGGUCACCCUCAAGGUCUCUGGAGGCUUUGGGGAAAGAAAUACUGGUGGGGCCUCAGUGGUUUGUGUUGUCCCUGUGGCAUUGUGUCUGUCCUCAGCCCUGGGCAGCCCAGGCCACUGCCUGCCCUGCUCCAUCUGUCUCCACUCUGGCUUAGCACCUGGUUAUUUAUGUGAGGCCGUGCAGGCACGGGCCCACUGCCCAUCCUGUUUAUCUUAUUUAUUAAAACCUGCUGUCGUCGUCCUCUCCCUGCAUCUCCAUCCCAUCCACUUGUUGAGUAAUAAAAGGUGGAAAUGGUGUCAUGAGGAGGUUCCUUUUCCCCCCCACCAUGCCUUCCCCAGCUCAGCUGCUUAAGCCCCACUCUGUGUCUCCCUAUCCUGUUGCUGAUAGACAGCCUUUCUUUCACCAUGCCUGGGCAACAGGUGGAGGAGUCCUUCAUGUCAUCCACUUGUCACUGAGCUCCCCAAAGGGCAGGCUGCCCAGUGUGCGCCACGUUCAUGUUUUAAAGUUGUCUAAUAUUCACAUUCUCAAAAGUAAAGAGAAACAAGUGAACUUAGUUUGAAUACUAUUUUUAACUCCGA